rnacentral:rRNA from 1 species
UACGAAGGGGGCUAGCGUUGCUCGGAAUCACUGGGCGUAAAGCGCACGUAGGCGGCUUCUUAAGUCAGGGGUGAAAUCCUGGAGCUCAACUCCAGAACUGCCUUUGAUACUGGAGAUCUCGAGUCCGGAAGAGGUGAGUGGAACUCCGAGUGUAGAGGUGAAAUUCGUAGAUAUUCGGAAGAACACCAGUGGCGAAGGCGGCUCACUGGUCCGGUACUGACGCUGAGGUGCGAAAGUGCGGGGAUCAAACAGG